GAUUGAACGCUGGCGGCAUGCUUUACACAUGCAAGUCGAACGGCAGCGCGGGGCAACCUGGCGGCGAGUGGCGAACGGGUGAGUAAUAUAUCGGAACGUACCCAGAAGUGGGGGAUAACGUAGCGAAAGUUACGCUAAUACCGCAUACGAUCUACGAAUGAAAGUAGGGGACCGCAAGGCCUUAUGCUUUUGGAGCGGCCGAUAUCUGAUUAGCUAGUUGGUGAGGUAAAGGCUCACCAAGGCGACGAUCAGUAGCUGGUCUGAGAGGACGACCAGCCACACUGGAACUGAGACACGGUCCAGACUCCUACGGGAGGCAGCAGUGGGGAAUUUUGGACAAUGGGCGCAAGCCUGAUCCAGCAAUGCCGCGUGAGUGAAGAAGGCCUUCGGGUUGUAAAGCUCUUUUGUCAGGGAAGAAACGGUAGAGGCUAAUAUCCUUUGCUAAUGACGGUACCUGAAGAAUAAGCACCGGCUAACUACGUG
rnacentral:rRNA from 1 species